rnacentral:rRNA from 1 species
GGUUAUAAGAUCCCUCAAAGAUGAUGAGGUAAAUAGGUUCGAGGUGGAAGCGUAGCGAUACGUGGAGCUGACGAAUACUAAUCGAUCGAAGACUUAAUCAAAUU